CGAGAUUGCGUCGACGCGGAUCCCGAAAAGGGCGUCGAUCCGUCGCGACAGCGGGACGGUGGUCAUGGAAGUCGAAAUCCGCUAAGAAGCGUGUAAAAACGUACCCGCCCAACGGAUCGGCCCCGAAAAUUGAUGGCGCUCGAACGCAACCCUCGAACCCCGCCGACGGAGGCUAGGGGAGGCCCCGUCGAGUAGGCGGACGCGCGGGUCGCUUCGACGCUCUCGCGCGAGCGGGGCGGAGCGGCCCGUGGUGCAGAUCUUGGUGGUAGUAGCGAUCACCCAGGCGAGAACCCUGAGGGCCGAAGUGGAGAAGGGUUUCUCGAGAACGGCACUCGCUCGAGAGUUAGUCGAUCCUAAGCUGCCGGCGGCAGCCACGAAACGGUCGAUCGGGCGCGAGCCCGGCAGCCACGACCGGGCAGCGAAAGGGAAUUGGGAACCUCCUUCCCAAACCCGGAACCGGAACGAGGGC
rnacentral:rRNA from 1 species